UUUGAGAGAAGGGAUGACACAGUAGGAUAAGCUAAGCACACUGUUGGUUAUGUGUGCCCAAGCAUUGAGGCAGUCAAAGUAGGCAAAUCCGCUUUGAUAAUGCUGGGAUGUGAUGGGGAGCGAAAUUUAGUAGCGAAGUAGCUGAUUUCACACUGUCAAGAAAAGUCUCUAUCGAGGUUAAAGGUACCCGUACCGCAAACCGACACAGGUGGGUGAGGAGAGUAUCCUAAGGCCAGCGAGAGAACUGUUGUUAAGGAACUCGGCAAAAUGACCCCGUAACUUAGGGAUAAGGGGUGCCACCAUCAGGUGGCCGCAGAGAAUAGGCCCAAGCGACUGUUUACCAAAAACAUAGGUUUCUGCUAAGUCGCAAGACGAUGUAUAGGAGCUGACGCCUGCCCGGUGCUGGAAGGUUAAGGGGAUCUGUUAGAGCAAUCGAAGCAGUGAACUUAAGCCCCAGUAAACGGCGGCCGUAACUAUAACGGUCCUAAGGUAGCGAAAUUCCUUGUCGGGUAAGUUCCGACCCGCACGAAAGGCGUAACGAUUUGGGCACUGUCUCAACAACAGACUCGGUGAAAUUGUAAUUCCGGUGAAGAUGCCGGAUACCUGCGACAGGACGGAAAGACCCCAUGGAGCUUUACUGUAGCUUGACAUUGGGUCUUGGUACUACAUGUACAGGAUAGGUGGGAGGCUUUGAAACCAGGACGCCAGUUUUGGCGGAGCCAUCCUUGGGAUACCACCCUUGUAGUACUGGGACUCUAACCAUAG
rnacentral:rRNA from 1 species